CCCGAGCAACCCCUGUCGCGACCCCCACUGGCUGCAGAGGGACAGCAGCGGUGCGGGAGGAGGCCAGGGUCCAGCGGGGUCGGGGACCCGCCCGGGAGAGGCCUCGGCCGAGGGAGUGUUAGAGCCGCUGUUCCCUGUCUCAGUCCGUUGGUCCUGGUGCAGCAAUAUCCAUCCCGUGAGCCCGCUUGGAACCUGUGCCCGACGCUUCCCAGUUCCUUCUUGCAGACUCUUAAACUGCACGGUCUGUUGUGGCAUCAAGAAGGCUGCUCGAGAUGAGGUCAAGAGAGUAGCUGCUAAUGAUGAACUGAACUUUUGGAAGGAUUGUCCAUUACAACUGCCUGAUAUUUCAACUACAGAAACCCACUCCUCCAGAAUGACACCAUCAGCCACUUUAAGAACAUUGCUCUUGGAGAAUGUCCUCAAGUGUUCAGUAUUGUCUAGCUGUUUCUGAAGUUUUUAUCCACCCAGAAGCUAGGGUGCAGAGAAUCCGAAGUCUACCUGUUGCUUGAUGUGAAGAAUACAGAUUUUAAAAUUUUCUGAACAACAAUAUAGCACACUAUAACACCUAGUCCUCAAAAUAAAAG
ensembl:lncRNA